rnacentral:rRNA from 1 species
GGAGAUAGCUGGUUCUCUCCGAAAUAGCUUUAGGGCUAGCCUCAAGUGAUGAUUAUUGGAGGUAGAGCACUGUUUGGACGAGGGGCCCCUCUCGGGUUACCGAAUUCAGACAAACUCCGAAUGCCAAUUAAUUUAACUUGGGAGUCAGAACAUGGGUGAUAAGGUCCGUGUUCGAAAGGGAAACAGCCCAGACCACCAGCUAAGGUCCCAAAAUAUAUGUUAAGUGGAAAAGGAUGUGGCGUUGCCCAGACAACUAGGAUGUUGGCUUAGAAGCAGCCAUCAUUUAAAGAGUGCGUAAUAGCUCACUAGUCGAGUGACACUGCGCCGAAAAUGUACCGGGGCUAAACAUAUUACCGAAGCUGUGGAUUGUCCUUUGGACAAUGGUAGGAGAGCGUUCUAAGGGCGUUGAAGCAUGAUCGUAAGGACAUGUGGAGCGCUUAGAAGUGAGAAUGCCGGUGUGAGUAGCGAAAGACGGGUGAGAAUCCCGUCCACCGAUUGACUAAGGUUUCCAGAGGAAGGCUCGUCCGCUCUGGGUUAGUCGGGUCCUAAGCUGAGGCCGACAGGCGUAGGCGAUGGAUAACAGGUUGAUAUUCCUGUACCACCUAUAAUCGUUUUAAUCGAUGGGGGGACGCAGUAGGAUAGGCGAAGCGUGCGAUUGGAUUGCACGUCUAAGCAGUAAGGCUGAGUAUUAGGCAAAUCCGGUACUCGUUAAGGCU